GAUGAACGCUGGCGGCGUGCCUAAUACAUGCAAGUCGAGCGAACGGACGAGAAGCUUGCUUCUCUGAUGUUAGCGACGGACGGGUGAGUAACACGUGGAUAACCUACCUAUAAGACUGGGAUAACUUCGGGAAACCGUAGCUAAUACCGGAUAAUAUUUUGAACCGCAUGGUUCAAAAGUGAAAGACGGUCUUGCUGUCACUUAUAGAUGGAUCCGCGCUGCAUUAGCUAGUUGGUAAGGUAACGGCUUACCAAGGCAACGAUGCAUAGCCGACCUGAGAGGGUGAUCGGCCACACUGGAACUGAGACACGGUCCAGACUCCUACGGGAGGCAGCAGUAGGGAAUCUUCCGCAAUGGGCGAAAGCCUGACGGAGCAACGCCGCGUGAGUGAUGAAGGUCUUCGGAUCGUAAAACUCUGUUAUUAGGGAAGAACAUAUGUGUAAGUAACUGUGCACAUCUUGACGGUACCUAAUCAGAAAGCCACGGCUAACUACGUG
rnacentral:rRNA from 1 species